UUGCUUGUCUAUAUUAUUAUGUAGGUUAGCGCAUGGCUUCGCGUGUCUAGGGCUAGGUUCGUUAGGCAGGCAGGUAUCAAAGGGCCACGGGGAUUUCGCCGACUUUCGUAAUCUGUGGAAACGUGGGCUCGAAUGCCGCAGCGAGUUGGCAACGUCGCACGCUCGACCGACGACCUCGCGUUAUCGCCCGCGGUGACGCGAUACGCUGAAAAGGUCACCAGUCGCCGCUCUAGUCGCCACCAUCCGCUAAUGUCUUCGCCAUCUAAACAGUUGCAGUUUCGACAUAGAAUCCCAUAAGUACACCGUGAAAAAAAUAUUGUUGCGACGUGGCGUCGUGGUGCGUAGCGGCGUCUCGCUCGCGCGGCCGCCGCGUCCCGCUCGGCUCCGCCCCCCUCCGACCGCAGCGCCGCGUAGCGGUCGCGCCGCGAAAUGUACACGUCGCCUAUACAGCGUUGCCAUUCCGUACCUAUAAUUUCGCUGGACGUAAAUUUCAACCGAAACAGUUCAAUGGACUUUUCGAAAACUCUAAACGUGUCAUUUUACGUAAAAAGUCCUGUGUUACAUAGAUUAUUGUAGGGAGUGGUGUGUGACCGUCUGUUCUGUUAAAAAUUGUGAUAUUUCAGUGUGAGUUGCGUGUCCGUGCUUGUAAUCCGUGAACAAAGUCCCGUUGGGAGCUAUCACGUCUGUUUUCGGCUCUAAGGUUAUCGGUGCAGUGUCGUCGGUCGUGUCGGUCGUGUGCAGUGGUGUGCGUGUGCAUCCGUGUUUGUGUGUGUUGUGCGACGUAGCGCCGGUAUGGCGCGCAGCUAGCGAGCCGCGCCCGCCGCGGCAUGCGCGCCGCCUAGCCAUGCCUGCUGCGCAUCACGAGCCAUGGCGCAGUACUCGCAACGGACACAGCCAAUGCACAGAUUGUGAAAUCCCGACGAUCCUAUCCCAAGAUCCUUGAUGAAUUUUACGAAGGCACAUAGAAGACCCUUCACAUUUACUAUAUACCUUUUAGUUCAUGAAAAAACAAAAACUGUUUGCCACAUAAAUGAGAUACAGCAUAACAAUAUUUUGUUUUCUUUAUUUUUUGCGUCUGGACAUUGGACCAGACAGCCUGUGUUUAAAAUUAUAUAUUUUUUCAAACAAAAACAUGAAUGUUUUUCUUUGCACGUUACGUACGACAUGUGUUCGUUAUACAAUAUUUAUUUACGUUCAUUACAAUGAAAUUUGCUUGGACAGCUAAUUUGACGGGUAAAGUACCGGGCUAGGUCCUCGUCUUCCAUUGUUCUUGAGUACCAGCUGUCA
rnacentral:lncRNA from 1 species